rnacentral:rRNA from 1 species
UGGCACACGGCUCAGUAACACGUAGUCAACAUAACCAGAGGACGUGGAUAAACUCGGGAAACUGAGGCUAAACCGCGAUAGACCAAGAUACCUGGAAUGGUUUUUGAUCAAAAUCUAUAUGGCCUUUGGAUUGGACUGCGACCGAUCAGGCUGUUGGUGAGGUAAUGGCCCACCAAACCUGUAACCGGUACGGGCUCUGAGAGGAGGAGCCCGGAGAUGGGUACUGAGAAAAGGACCCAGGCCCUAUGGGGCGCAGCAGGCGCGAAACCUCUGCAAUAGGCGAAAGCCUGACAGGGUUACUCUGAGUGACUUUCGCUAAGAAAGUCUUUUGACACCUCUAAAAAUGGUGUAGAAUAAGGGGUGGGCAAGUCUGGUGUCAGCCGCCGCGGUAAUACCAGCACCCCGAGUGGUCGGGACGAUUAUUGGGCCUAAAGCAUCCGUAGCCGGUUUUACAAGUCCUCCGUUAAAUCCAACUGCUUAACAGAUGGGCCGCGGAGGAUACUAUAAGACUAGGAGGCAGGAGAGGCAAGCGGUACUCAGUGGGUAGGGGUAAAAUCCGUUGAUCCAUUGAAGACCACCAGUGGCGAAGGCGGCUUGCCAGAAUGCGCUCGACGGUGAGGGAUGAAAGCUGGGGGAGCAAACCGGAUUAGAUACCCGGGUAGUCCCAGCUGUAAACGAUGCAGACUCGGUGAUGGGUUGGCUUCGAGCCAACCCAGUGCCGCAGGGAAGCCGUUAAGUCUGCCGCCUGGGGAGUACGGUCGCAAGACUGAAACUUAAAGGAAUUGGCGGGGGAGCACCACAAGGGGUGAAGCCUGCGGUUCAAUUGGAUUCAACGCCGGA